rnacentral:rRNA from 1 species
GACGUAGGGGGCGAGCGUUAUCCGGAUUCACUGGGCGUAAAGGGCGCGUAGGCGGCCUUCUAAGUCGAACGUGAAAUCCCCGGGCUCAACCCGGGAACUGCGUCCGAUACUGGAAGGCUUGAAUCCGGGAGAGGGAUGUGGAAUUCCAGGUGUAGCGGUGAAAUGCGUAGAUAUCUGGAGGAACACCGGUGGCGAAGGCGACAUCCUGGACCGGUAUUGACGCUGAGGCGCGAAAGCGUGGGGAGCGGACAGG